GGGGUACCUUUCUUGGCUGAUCCCUUUUGCUUUAUGGCGUGCUCGUUUGGGUUGGGCGUCGGCUUAGAGUGCUCGGAGCGUGGAUUAACUCCAGUCUCCAAUCAGGUAAUCCCUAAGCUUAGAUGGUUUAGAGCUGCGAGGGACUCGGAGAUGGCCACACACUAUUUCUGUUUCUUGUAAUUGCAAUUAGAUUUCGUUUUGGGUGUUUUUAUGUAAUAAGGUCGUUGGUGGGUUUUAAGUUUUAAUUUGGAUUGUGAUUUCUUAUACUAAACUGCCAGUCUAGGAAAACUCGAGAUUUCAAAAUGGCAUGAUUUUUCUAAGGAAUACGAGCUUCCAACAACAAAGUUUUCAAAA